AUCUUUGCGCUUGAGGUAAUGACGCAGCUAGUGAGGUUCUAACUGAGGCGCGUCUAUUGCUGGUUGAAAACUAUUUUCAAACCCUCUCUUCGGCCUAGGUUUUGCCUUGGCCGUUGAGAAUUUUUGGAAGGGCUCCCUUAUCAAGGGUAAAGCC
rfam:Solanum tuberosum cultivar DM 1-3 516 R44 scf00653_12, whole genome shotgun sequence.